GACGAACGCUGGCGGCGUGCUUAACACAUGCAAGUCGAACGGAAAGGCCCUGCUUUUGUGGGGUGCUCGAGUGGCGAACGUGUGCGGAACACGUGAGUAACCUGCUCUUGACUUUGGGUUAACUUCAGGAAACUGGGGCUAAUACCGGAUAGGAGCUCCUGCUGCCUGGUUGGGGUUGGAAAGUUUCGGCGGUUGGGGAUGGACUCGCGGCUUAUCAGCUUGUUGGUGGGGUAGUGGCUUACCAAGGCUUUGACGGGUAGUCGGCCUGAGAGGGUGACCGGCCACAUUGGGACUGAGAUACGGCCCAGACUCCUACGGGAGGCAGCAGUGGGGAGUAGUACACAAUAAGCGGAAGCCUGAUGCAGCGGCGCCGCGUGCGGGAUGACGGCCUUCUGGUUGUAAACCGCUUUCGCCUGUGACGAAGCGUGAGUGACGGUAAUGGGUAAAGAAGCACCGGCUAACUACGUG
rnacentral:rRNA from 1 species